rnacentral:rRNA from 1 species
GACGAACUGCCCAAACGUUGUUCGGAAUCACUGGGCUUAAAGGGCGCGUAGGCGGCAGAUCAAGUCAGGGGUGAAAUCCGGCAGCUCAACUGUCGAAGUGCCUUUGAUACUGAUUUGCUCGAGGGAGAUAGGGGUCUGUGGAACUUCUGGUGGAGCGGUGAAAUGCGUUGAUAUCAGAAGGAACGCCGGUGGCGAAAGCGACGGACUGGAUCUCUUCUGACGCUGAGGAACGAAAGCUAGGGGAGCGAACGGG